rnacentral:rRNA from 1 species
UACGUAUGGUGCAAGCGUUAUCCGGAUUUACUGGGUGUAAAGGGAGCGCAGGCGGCACGGCAAGCCUGAUGUGAAAGCCCGCGGCCCAACCGCGGGACUGCAUUGGGAACUACCGGGCUGGAGUGCCGGAGAGGUAGGCGGAAUUCCUAGUGUAGAGGUGAAAUGCGUAGAUAUUAGGAGGAACACCAGUGGCGAAGGCGGCCUACUGGACGGUGACUGACGCUGAGGCUCGAAAGCGUGGGGAGCAAACAGG